rnacentral:rRNA from 1 species
GACGAACGCUGGCGGCGUGCUUAACACAUGCAAGUCGAACGGAAAGGCCCUGCUUUUGUGGGGUGCUCGAGUGGCGAACGGGUGAGUAACACGUGAGUAACCUGCCCUUGACUUUGGGAUAACUUCAGGAAACUGGGGCUAAUACCGGAUAGGAGCUCCUGCUGCAUGGUGGGGGUUGGAAAGUUUCGGCGGUUGGGGAUGGACUCGCGGCUUAUCAGCUUGUUGGUGGGGUAGUGGCUUACCAAGGCUUUGGCGGGUAGCCGGCCUGGGGGGGUGACCGGCCACAUUGGCAUAGGGGAACGGCCAAGACUCCAACGGGGGGAAGGGGGGGGGAAUUUGGCCAACAGGGCGGAGCCAUGGAGGAAGACCGCCGGGGCGGGGAAGGCGGCUUUGGGGUUAGAACCCCCUUGCGCCUGUAAAGAAGCGUGGGUGGGGGAAAUGGGUAAAGAAGCACCGCUAAAUUACGG